rnacentral:rRNA from 1 species
AUAUUGGACAAUGGGGGCAACCCUGAUCCAGCCAUGCCGCGUGUGUGAUGAAGGUCUUCGGAUUGUAAAGCACCUUAAGUUGGGAGGAAGGGCUUUAGGCUAAUACCCUGAAGUUUUGACGUUACCAACAGAAUAAGCACCGGCUAACUCUGUGCCAGCAGCCGGGGAAAUACAGAGGGUGCAAGCGUUAAUCGGAAUUACUGGGCGUAAAGCGCGCGUAGGUGGUUCAGUAAGAUGAGUGGGAAGUCCCCGGGCUUAACCUGGGAACUGCUUUCAUAACUGAUGAGCUAGAGUACGGUAGAGGGAAGUGGAAUUUCCUGUGUAGCGGUGAAAUGCGUAGAUAUAGGAAGGAAAACAAGUGGCGAAGGCGACUACCUGGACUGAUACUGACACUGAGGUGCGAAAGCGUGGGGGGCAAAC